GCUCAGGAUGAACGCUAGCGACAGGCCUAACACAUGCAAGUCGAGGGGCAGCGGGGAGGUAGCAAUACCUUUGCCGGCGACCGGCGCACGGGUGAGUAACACGUAUGCAAUCCACCUGUAACAGGGGGAUAACCCGGAGAAAUCCGGACUAAUACCCCAUAAUAUGGGCUCUCCGCAUGGAGGGUUCAUUAAAGAGAGCAAUUUUGGUUACAGACGAGCAUGCGCUCCAUUAGCCAGUUGGCGGGGUAACGGCCCACCAAAGCGACGAUGGAUAGGGGUUCUGAGAGGAAGGUCCCCCACAUUGGAACUGAGACACGGUCCAAACUCCUACGGGAGGCAGCAGUGAGGAAUAUUGGUCAAUGGUCGGCAGACUGAACCAGCCAAGUCGCGUGAGGGAAGACGGCCCUACGGGUUGUAAACCUCUUUUGUCGGAGAGUAAAGUACGCUACGUGUAGCGUAUUGCAAGUAUCCGAAGAAAAAGCAUCGGCUAACUCCGUGCCAGCAGCCGCGGUAAUACGGAGGAUGCGAGCGUUAUCCGGAUUUAUUGGGUUUAAAGGGUGCGUAGGCGGCACGCCAAGUCAGCGGUGAAAUUUUCGGGCUCAACCCGGACUGUGCCGUUGAAACUGGCGAGCUAGAGUGCACAAGAGGCAGGCGGAAUGCGUGGUGUAGCGGUGAAAUGCAUAGAUAUCACGCAGAACCCCGAUUGCGAAGGCAGCCUGCUAGGGUGCGACAGACGCUGAGGCACGAAAGCGUGGGUAUCGAACAGGAUUAGAUACCCUGGUAGUCCACGCAGUAAACGAUGAAAUACUAACUGUUUGCGAUACAAUGUAAGCGGUACAGCGAAAGCGUUAAGUAUUCCACCUGGGGAGUACGCCGG
rnacentral:rRNA from 1 species